rnacentral:tRNA from 2 species
GGAGGGGUGCCGGAGUGGCUAAUCGGAGCAGUCUGUAAAAUUGCCGCCCGAAAGGGCUUCGUAGGUUCGAAUCCUACCCCCUCCA